AAAUGGAAGAGAUGUUGUCAUCUCUAUUCCAUAACAUUUAAAAAUAAAAACAAUUAAAUAAGAAAUAAGAGAAAAUAAUUAGGAAUAGGAAACUUACCCAUUUAUUUUUAUUAGGCUAUUACGAGUAAAUUAGAAUAAAGAGGGUAGGAAAAAGGGAAGAGAGCCAUUAUGCUCUUGGGCUGCCGAAACUAGAGAGAAGAAGAGAGAGAGAGAGAGGCGUGAGGUAGAGAGAGAAGGAGAAGAAGAAAGAAAAGAAGAAGAAGAAGAAGGGAUCAAUUUUAGGGCUUGUUGUGAAGUUUUCAUUUUUGCUUUGCUUGGACCUGAGGUAGCAAAUAUGUUUUCUCUUUGGCACGCGUGGUGAUGUGGGGAGUUCUAUCGUCAGGAUGUGUAUGGCGUGGGGGGCAUCCUAUGGACGAGAAACGAUCAAUUUAAAUGCAAUUUUUCUAAAAAUAAUGUUAUGUUUAUUUUGACAUUCUAAACUUAUCAGUGGGACUUGAACUUUGGUUAUUUUUAAGAACAUUGCAUGAAAACUAUUCAUUUUCUUUUUAAACUAUUGGGCCCAACUUGCAUGUUUUAGCAAGGCCCCACUGGGA